rnacentral:rRNA from 1 species
CUCACCAGGUCAGGACACGGUAAGGAUUGACGGACUGAAGGCUCUUUCUCGAUUCCGUGGAAAGUGGUGCAUGGCCGUUUUUGGUUGUGGAUCGAUCCGUCUGGUUAAUUCCGUUAACGAACGAGACCUCGGCACUCCGAAUAGCGCGGCGGACGUCGCGGCCUCCGGGCCGUCUUCCGCACGAGCUUCUUAGAGGGACCGUCCCCCGCCGGGGAAGGAGGUGCGAGGCAACGACAGGUCUGUGAUGCCCUUAGAUGUUCUGGGCCGCACGCGCAUUACACUGACGCGUCCAACGGGUGACUCCCGACCCGAAGGGGCCGGGGAAUCCGCAAGGCGCGUCGUGAUGGGGAUUGAACGUUGCAAUUGUUGUUCACGAACGAGGAAUUCCUAGUAGGCGCGGGUCAUCAACCCGCGCCGAUUACGUCCCUGCCC